GACAGAGGUCCCAAGCGUUAGGCGGAAUCACUGGGCUUAAAGCGUGUGUAGGCGGAUUUGUAAGUACCUUGUGAAAUCCCAUGGCUCAACCAUGGAACUGCUUGGUAUACUGCUUAUCUUGGGCCAUCUAGGGGCGAGCGGAACAAACGGUGGAGCGGUGAAAUGCGUAGAUAUCGUUUGGAACGCCAAUGGUGAAAACAGCUCGCUGGGGAUGUGCCGACGCUGAGAUAUGAAAGCCAGGGGAGCGAACGGG
rnacentral:rRNA from 1 species